rnacentral:rRNA from 1 species
UACGAGGGGGGCGAGCGUUGUUCGGAAUUAUUGGGCGUAAAGGGCGCGUAGGCGGUCGGAUAAGUCUUGUGUGAAAUCUUCGGGCUCAACUCGAAGUCUGCACAGGAAACUAUCUGGCUUGAGUGUGGGAGAGGUGAGUGGAAUUCCUGGUGUAGCGGUGAAAUGCGUAGAUAUCAGGAGGAACACCAAUUGCGAAGGCAGCUCGCUGGGACGUUACUGACGCUGAGACGCGAAAGCGUGGGGAGCAAACAGG